rnacentral:rRNA from 1 species
GCAAGUCGAGGGGUAACAGAGGUGCUUGCACUUGCUGACGACCGGCGCACGGGUGCGUAACGCGUAUAGAACCUACCUUUUACAGAGGGAUAGCGUUUAGAAAUGUAGAUUAAAACCUCAUAGUGUUGCGAUUUGGCGUCGAAUUGUAUUUAAAGAUUUAUCGGUAAAAGAUGGCUAUGCGUCCUAUUAGCUAGUUGGUAAGGUAACGGCUUACCAUGGCAAUGAUAGGUAGGGGUCCUGAGAGGGAGAUC